rnacentral:ribozyme from 1 species
AAGUUCCUGACGUUCAAGGUCAUCAACAAGAAAAUCGACUUCAACUCGUUCGAAGAAGUCGCCACACGCCAAAACGAAGCG